rnacentral:tRNA from 1 species
AGGGCUAUAGCUCAGUCGGUAGAGCGCCUCGUUUACACACCGAGAAAGUCUACGGUUCGAAUCCGUAUAGCCCUA